CUUCGUCAGAGUCAGCCGGCGGGAACGCAUUGAGAAUUUGAGAUCGUUUCUGAAUUUCAAUUUGUUGUGGUGUCAUAUUACCGGAACUUUGUGAUACAAUGUCUGUGGUUGAUGAGCCCCUGUAUCCAAUUGCUGUUCUCAUAGAUGAGCUAAAAAAUGAUGACAUCCAGCUAAGGCUGAAAACAAUCCGUAGACUAUCGACAAUUGCUCGUGCUCUUGGGGAGGAGCGAACCCGGAAGGAAUUAAUUCCAUUUUUGAGUGAAAACAAUGAUGAUGAUGAUGAGGUUCUCCUUGCGAUGGCAGAGGAAUUGGGAGUUUUCAUCCCUUAUGUUGGGGGAGUUGAGCAUGCCCAUGUUUUGCUCCCACCUUUGGAAACCCUUUGCACUGUGGAGGAAACAUGUGUGAGAGAUAAAGCUGUGGAGUCCUUGUGUAGGAUUGGAUCCCAGAUGAGAGAGGGUGACUUGGUUGACUGGUUCAUUCCUCUGGUCAAGAGACUGGCUGGGGGGGGANCUGGAGAAUGGUUUACAGCUAGAGUUUCUGCAUGUGGACUAUUUCAUAUUGCCUAUCCAAGUGCCCCUGAUACGUCAAAGACAGAAUUGCGUACAAUAUACAGCCAGCUCUGUCAAGAUGACAUGCCUAUGGUUAGAAGGUCUGCAGCCUCAAAUCUUGGGAAAUUUGCUGCGACCGUUGAACCUGCUCAUUUGAAGAUUGACAUCAUGUCAAUAUUUGAGGAUCUAACCCAGGAUGAUCAGGAUUCUGUUCGUUU
rnacentral:misc_RNA from 1 species